rnacentral:misc_RNA from 1 species
AUUCUUUGUGUUUUUGAUCCAUCAUUUGGACGGGCGACUGUACUGGACACUCUUUUCAUUCCGUUGGAAAUCGUUGUUGCUGAGGAUUUUUUUUUAAAAUUUCUGAAAAGGACGGAGAAAUUGAAAAGAAAAGGAAUAGGAAUAUGACAUAGUUGAUGGUCUAUAUGAAUUUCAAAGGGAUCUGUAAACGUCGUACCGUCAAUAUGAUGAACGUUAGGAAGGUUCCGUUAAUCAUUUUUCUGACCUGUUUAACGCUCUUUUUCUCCAUGUUCACUCUUUACAUGACCAUGUUCAAUCAUGGACCACCUUCGGAGAUUUUAGAAGCUAACAGGCAAAUAGUAUUGAAGCCAAAAAAUGACGUAGACUUAUCCUUAAAUGGUGAUGAAUUAGACGAAGAUGAGGAAGUGUCUGAGAGUGUAGAGUCUGCCAAACGCUGGCAAAAAUUCGUUGACGAUAACAAAUAUGUCGCCAUCGGGGACGUUUACAAUUCUUGCGGUGAGUUUUGACAUGAUGGCAAUACUGUUGUUUUAAAAUUGUUCUGAUUUAACAUUUCAUUGUUUUGAAAUGGUUUGAUUUAUAUCAUUUUUAGAUGAUAAAGAUAGGAUAACAUUGGGCAAAGCAAUACUACUUCCUAAUGAAGAAACAGGUGGACUGAAAGUUCGAACGUUCAUCAAUAUCACUCUAGAGAAGCCUCUCACAGAAGGCGAAUUUCUCGUCGAUGUCAAAUAUAACGGAAAAGAUCUGUACGAUAACCACUGGGAAUUUUGUACGAUUGACGAAAACCAGGAGGUGAAACAAGUAUUUUGUCCGUACAAACCGGGGUUUUACACUUGGGCAACGGACAAAAAGAUCCCAAAGUUCAUCCCAAAGGGUAAGUACCAUACACGAGCCUGGUUGAACGGGGAUGAUGGAAAACUGCUGACUUGUGGUCUGACAACAUUCGUUCUCUAGACGUGUCUCUCAUGUUGAUAUUUAACGACGCUUUAACAAUGCAAGGAACUGUAUUACCAUUGAUAUUUAUAUUUAUUGUUAAUAUUUUCAGUGUCAUCGUGUACUUAAAAAUCGUUUUUCAUGGAUACAUAUUUUCCAUUUUGUUUUGUUGAGUACACGAUAAAUUUUUUUUGUUAUGUGCGUUUAUGUACAUUCUUAAACGUAUAUAUCUUUUUUGUUGUCCUUGAACUAUUUAUGAUACAUAUUAUUGAUGUUAGCCAAGGAUACUGCAUUUAUCAAAUAAAAACUCAUCAAAUUGUUAUAAAUGACGUGAACUAUACAUGUUAUAGCAUACGUCUGUAAUAAGUUUGAAAAUGUCACAAUUUAUAUAUAUUCAUAAAUAUUUAUUUGUAUUGUCAUGUAUAUAAUUAUAAAUCCUACAUAUAAUUAUCUUCAUAUUGAACAUCAAAGUAUAUUAACCUAAUUAAUCUUUACUGCAUGUAUAUAUUGAAUGAUAAGAUAAUACUUUAGUUAUCAUAUAAUAUAAAUAUAUAGAUACUAGUUGAAACUGUUAUCAGUCAAAUAUUGUUCAUAAAAUUGCCUCAGUGAUAAAAAUGUGUUUUCAAGUGCACUCUAGUGUUAAACCUUUUGAAACACUUUGCUGAUAUCGCUGAUGUAAAACUCGGUGUCUAUACGUGUAACGCAAAGCAGCGAAAGUUUUUCGUAAUAAAACGAUUGUACAUUAUGUUUUGAACUUUAUAAAAUAUGCGUGUUUUUCCAAAUAAAAAAGAAUACUAGU